rnacentral:rRNA from 1 species
UACAGAGGUCUCGAGCGUUGUUCGGAUUCAUUGGGCGUAAAGGGUGCGUAGGUGGCUAGGUAAGUCGGAUGUGAAAUCCCGGGCUCAACCCGGAACUGCAUUCGAUACUGCCUGGCUAGAGUACUGGAGAGGAGAUUGGAAUUUACGGUGUAGCAGUGAAAUGCGUAGAUAUCGUAAGGAAGACCAGUGGCGAAGGCCGGAU